rnacentral:rRNA from 1 species
UACGUAGGGACCGAGCGUUGUCCGGAAUCAUUGGGCGUAAAGAGCGUGUAGGCGGCCACUUAAGUCCUGCGUGAAAUCUUGCGGCUCAACCGCAAGCGGUCGUGGGAAACUGGGUGGCUAGAGUGCGGGAGAGGAGAGUGGAAUUCCUGGUGUAGCGGUGGAAUGCGCAGAUAUCAGGAGGAACACCGAUGGCGAAGGCAGGUCACUGGGCCGCAACUGACGCUGAGGAGCGAAAGCAUGGGGAGCGAACAGG